AGUGAACGCUGGCGGUAGGCCUAACACAUGCAAGUCGAGCGGCAACACAGUAAGAGCUUUCUCUUACGGUUGGCGACGGGCGGAUGGGUGAGGCGUAGGUCGGCUACCUCUUAGUCUUGGGGGAUAACGGGGGGGAACAGAUGCUAAUGGCGCAUAUGACGUACGGGUGAAAUCAGGAGUGCUUGGUGCCUUUGGCGAUCUAUUUAGACGGAGUCGGAUUAGCUAGUUUACGGGGUAAGGGCCCACCAAGGCGACGGUCCGUAGCUGGUCUGAGAGGAUGAUCAGCCACACUGGAACUGAGACACGGUCCAGACUCCUACGGGAGGCAGCAGUGGGGAAUAUUGGGCAAUGGGCGCAAGCCUGAUCCAGCAAUACCGCGUGGGUGAAGAAGGCCUUCGGGUUGUAAAGCCCUUUUGUUGGGAAAGAAAAACCGCAUGUUAAUCCCCCGCCGUUCUGACGGUACCCAAAGAAAAAGCCCCGGCUAACUUCGUG
rnacentral:rRNA from 1 species